rnacentral:rRNA from 1 species
UCCGUAGGGUGAACCUGCGGAAGGAUCAUUACCUAGAGUUGUAGGCUUUGCCUGCUAUCUCUUACCCAUGUCUUUUGAGUACCUUACGUUUCCUCGGCGGGUCCGCCCGCCGAUUGGACAAUUUAAACCAUUUGCAGUUGCAAUCAKCGUCUGAAAAAACUUAAUAKUUACAACUUUCAACAACGGAUCUCUUGGUUCUGGCAUCGAUGAAGAACGCAGCGAAAUGCGAUAAGUAGUGUGAAUUGCAGAAUUCAGUGAAUCAUCGAAUCUUUGAACGCACAUUGCGCCCCUUGGUAUUCCAUGGGGCAUGCCUGUUCGAGCGUCAUUUGUACCUUCAAGCUCUGCUUGGUGUUGGGUGUUUGUCUCGCCUCUGCGUGUAKACUCGCCUCAAAACAAUUGGCAGCCGGCGUAUUGAUUUCGGAGCGCAGUACAUCUCGCGCUUUGCACUCAUAACGACGACGUCCAAAAGUACAUUUUUACACUCUUGACCUCGGAUCAGGUAGGGAUACCCGCUGAACUUAACCAUAUCAAUAAGCGGAGGA